rnacentral:rRNA from 1 species
UACGAAGGGGGCUAGCGUUGCUCGGAAUCACUGGGCGUAAAGCGCACGUAGGCGGCUUUUUAAGUCAGGGGUGAAAUCCUGGAGCUCAACUCCAGAACUGCCUUUGAUACUGAGAGGCUUGAGUCCGGGAGAGGUGAGUGGAACUGCGAGUGUAGAGGUGAAAUUCGUAGAUAUCGGGAGGAACACCCGUAGCGAAGGCGGCACUCUGGGCCGGAACUGACGCUGAGGAGCGAAAGCGUGGGGAGCAAACAGG